AGAUCUGGGUUGGGAAGGGGCAAGAGGGCAUGUUGAUCAGCUUAUACAGAAGGCUUCUGACUGGAGACACUGGGAAUUGUGUGUUGUCAUCUGGUGCAUUUUCACAUGUUCCACUAAACAGCAACACAAGCAUUAAUGGUUCUCGCACUGCCCAGAGGAUUUGUACCCAUGACACCAACUUGGAACACAGAAAGAAUUGAUCAAAAUCUAUAUUUUCUUCACUCAGUAUUGCUGUUGGAUCCUGUAGGUCGGUACCCACAUGGCAGAAUGAAAUCACUUAGCACACGUAUUGCCAAUGGGUGCAAUAUAUACAAUUUCAGCCAACAUUGAUCUCAAUUACAUCUAUGCCCAUGGUGAGAGUGCCUGCGGAAUACAAGGGAUUAAGCACCAAAAAUCAGCAAUUUUGUUUUGCGAUAUCGGAUUUGAUCAGCCCUGUGCCGAACGAUCGCAUUACAAUGAGGGGUUGCAGGAUUGCAUCAACUAGCCGAUGCGGUCCUGGAUCAAGGAAAAAGUCAAACUUGCCAGAUCUUUGGCCUGAUAUCGAUCAGGAGGGACCAGUCGGAGGCCCCCACACACGGCAGAUUAGCUACCGAAUCGGUCAAAUAUCGGCAUCUUUAGUCUAUUCCGUAACACGCCAAGGCUAGAAUCAAAGUUUGGACCCCAGACCUGCAAGGCAGCACAGCAGUCACCAUUAUGCUACAACAUACAUGACACAGUGUUCUGAAGAACGUAUGCAAGCACUAAAUCAGGCCACAUUUUUUUAACAAAUUGUUGUUAAACAUUAUUUUUACUAAAUUGCAAUAUUAAAAUAACAAUAUUCUAAUAUACAUGAACAUUAUAUGAACAUUAUACACCCCAAAUGGAAUGCUAGCCCACCGGAAGAGACUACCAACUGGGCUACCUGCCAUGCCGGCCACCUGCCUUGAGGUGGGCAAGUAGGAGCAGGAAACCAUAAAACCAAAAUCCUGGGACCCUCAUCCGAGGAAACCAUAAUCCACCUGCCAAAAUGGGGGCAUAAGCCCCCCACCCCUGGCAAGCAUUCCUCCGCCACUGUGUCAAACAAAUCAAUCCACCAUGAAAUCCAUCCUCCAUCGAACUUCACCCUAAACCUAGGGUCGGUGGGUGGCAUGCUGGUCGUCUUUGUUUUACACCAGAAAAGAGGCAGGUACU